rnacentral:rRNA from 1 species
GAUUGGUGCCUUCGGGAACUCUGACACAGGUGCUGCAUGGSUGUCGUCAGCUCGUGUCGUGAGAUGUUGGGUUAAGUCCCGUAACGAGCGCAACCCUUGUCCUUAGUUACCAGCACGUUAUGGUGGGCACUCUAAGGAGACUGCCGGUGACAAACCGGAGGAAGGUGGGGAUGACGUCAAGUCAUCAUGGCCCUUACGGCCUGGGCUACACACGUGCUACAAUGGUCGGUACAGAGGGUUGCCAAGCCGCGAGGUGGAGCUAAUCUCACAAAACCGAUCGUAGUCCGGAUCGCAGUCUGCAACUCGACUGCGUGAAGUCGGAAUCGCUAGUAAUCGCGAAUCAGAAUGUCGCGGUGAAUACGUUCCCGGGUCUUGUACACAC